GUAAGUGCCCACCAUUUGCCUAUUGCUCUGUGGAAUGAUACAGAGAAAAUUAUCAUGACCACUACACAGGGAUGACACACAAAUUUGUAAAGUGUUAUAUAUUUUU